AAAGCUUAUGCUCAAAUAAAUUUGUUAGUCUCUAAGGUGCCAGAAGUACUUCUGUUCUUUUUGUGGAUACAGACUAACAUGGCUGCUACUCUGAAACCUCUCAGGAUAGUGUAUUCCUGUGACUAAUAAUUACACCGGUACCCCAAUAUAACACUGUUCUUGGGAGCCAAAAAAUCUUACUGCAUUAUAGGUGAAACUGUGUUAUAUCAAACUUGCUUUGAUCCGCUAAAGCGCGCAGCCUGUCCCCCUGAAACACUGCUUUACCAUGUCAUAUCGGGUCAUGUUAUAUUGGGGUAAAGAUGUACUAUAAAAUCUUAGCUAGAAAUAGAAACAUAGUAUGAGCUGGAACAGAAAUGGAGGGGACUGCCUGAAGGGGCUGUAGUGCUAUUUGAUUUAUGCAUAAUCGGCUGGUAAGUAGCUUGGAAAGUACGAUGGUGUUUACACCAGUCUGUAGGGGCUGUGACAUAAUUUUUUAUUUAGAAUUAUUUGUUUGCCAUGUGUGAAUGGCCAUAGGAAUGUUAUGAAAAAACUUCUAAAUGCUGUUUUAAAUGAAUGUGACUCCAAGAUUCCUUCUGGAGAAGGCAGCUAUGAGAUAAUUAUAAGGAGUAAAGAAGCAAACAACUCUAAUCUGUUAUCAGCCCAGCUGCAGCCUUCCUCUUAUCAGUACUUGCAAAAGUUCACUUCAGCCAUGCUAUGUCUCAUACAAAGCCUGCCUUUUUAUGCUGUUCAGACUAGUUCCACUGUCUUUCAGAAAGCCUUUUUCAUAAGAAGCACUUAUCAGAGCUGAUACAUAGAGAACAGAGCAGGCCUGGAUGUGAUGGAGCUAUAGAAGGGAACUGCACUCGUUACUUCGCAACUUCAUUUUUUCAUCCAUGUCAUGCUCUAGUGUGGAUCUAAGCUCAGUUGAAACACCUGAUAAAGUGAAGGCUGAUUCUCCUAUAUAUGUUGGUAAAGAAGAAGACAUAAAACAGUCCCAAAGAAUAACAGCCAGUGUCCAUGACAGAGAAGUUGUCGUUUUCUACCAUGAAGGGAAAUUUUAUGCCAUGGACCGUCGCUGUUACCAUGCAGGAGGUCCUUUACAUCUUGGACAGAUAGAGGAUAUCAAUGGACAGCCCUGCAUUAUUUGCCCUUGGCACAAGUAUAAAAUUACUUUGGCAACAGGAGAAGGCUUAUAUCAAGCAAUAAACCCUACAGAACCAUCAGCAACACCAAAAUGGCGAUCAAAAGGAAUAAAGCAAAGAACUCACAAGGUUACUAUAGACAAUGGAAGUGUUUAUGUGACUCCUUCGGACUUAUCUAUCAGCUGUGACUCUGAUUACUAUGCUGAUAAAUACAAAAAGACUGGAAGUUCUGAUAUGAAAAAAUAAUGUACAUCCUGAACUUCAAAAUCAGUGGCCAUAAUGCAAAAUACCAGUGUCUGUGUAAAAGGCAUUAUCAGUAUCACAGAACAUGCAAAUUUUUUCCUAGAUAUUAAUAUAAAGAAAUACCAGUGUUAAUCUUAUUAAAGCAUUAAGUAAUAUAGAAAUGAGUAAGAUCAUAAACAAGUUCAAGACCCUCUCUGGAAUGAAUUAACAUUGUGCCAGUGCAGUUUUAUAUUUGCCUUUAAUAAAAUACAAGUUUAAUGUAUGUACAUUACCCUAGUUUGAAGUGUUAAAUCUUCCAUUACUAGAGUUAAAAUCUUUUAAUCUUUAGGAGGAGGAAUAUAAUGCAUUUAAUUAGUUUAUAAAAACCAUCUUGAAAUGUUAACUAUCCAUUGAGGGACAAUUUUUUUAAUACGUUGAAAUUAUUAUAGUUCUAAACUACAUAAUGUAAUUGGGAGAUUUUUUUUAAUGUUAUUUGCAGGUCAGGAGAAAAAGCUGUUAUUUUAUCCUAACACACAGGACCAGAGUUUCAUAAAAUGAGGAUGACUGCAGGAAACAUCUAUAAAACAAAGGAAGUGUGUGCAGGGAGGACUGAACCCAGUCUGGGAAGAUGUCUGGCCUUUGAAAAAUGCCUGGCGUUUCAAGCUGCAUGCAAGAGCAGCUUGCCUUCAAGAACCUCUGCAUUCUGCCCAAAACAAUAUUUAGGGCUUCUAAACAUAUAGGCAAUUGAUUAUAAUUAAGCAAUAAGAAACUGAACAGGUCCUGGAACAGAACAUCUAGCAACAUAUUUGGAUGUGCAAACCCAAUCCUGCCAGUUCCCAAGGAGUUCUAAGUGGGAGAACAGGGAAAGGAAGUGAUCCAGAGCUCUUUCAGCCUCCAUUUGGGACCUGCUGGUCACUUAUGAAGGGUCAGAAUCCAUUAGCUAUGGAUGAAUGUACCUGUUGGUCAACCGAGAGAGCUGCUACCUCAUUCCCCUGGACCCUAAAAUUAGGAUUUAACCUACACACUUUAAUAGACAUAGUUUGGGGGUAAUUACCUGUGUGUCAGCAAUAUGUUAAUUUGGGCCAGGGGCAGAACAAUUUAUGUAAUAUUUUAGAUCAUUGGCUUAUUGUGCUUAUCUUGUCUUGCUGUUAGAACUGACCCAGAGGUUUGGGAAAACCCAUCCCUGUCGCUUCUCUCUGCCCAAUGAGCACCAUAUAUACUCUAGUGUAACUAGUUGUUUUGCAGUGUCUCUGAGCCUAAUAAGGAAAGUGACACUCCGCCAGUGCUGCAUGUAAUAAACUCCUGUGCUUGACUCUA